CAAAACAAAACAGGGAACCAUCUGACUGCAGGUGUUGGCAAAAAGAAAAAAUAAAAAGUGAAUCUUCUUAUUUAAGAAGUGGGUAGGUUAAAGACCGAUCAAUUAUGGUAAUAACACUAUGGGCUCCUGAAACCUCAUGGGAAAUUCUACACCUUUUCAUGGAGUUGGCUGAAUAUAAGAGACCGAUAUACCCAAGAGGAGGAGGGAGACUACAGCCCUGCCUUAUCAUGGUUAGGCGAACGUCAGCUUUUCUGAGAAGUAAUAUGAA